CUCAGUGAAAUACACUAGUUACAAAAGGACAAACACUAUGGGGCACCUGGGUGGCUCAGCCAGUCAAGCGUCCGACUUAUGCUCAGGUCAUGAUCUCGCGGUCUGUGAGUUCGAGCCCCGCAUUGGGCUCUGUGCUGACAGCUCGGACGGAGCCUGGAGCCUGCUUUGGUUUCUGUGUCUCCCCCUCUCUCUGCCCCUUCCCCACUUGCUCUUUGUCUCUUUCUCUCUCUCAAAAAGAAAUAAACAUUAAAAAAAAAAAAGAACAAAUACUCUAUGAUUCUGUUUAGAUGAGGUAUAGAGAGACAAGAAAUAGAGUGGUGGUUGCCAGGAGCUGGAGAGAGGGGCAAAUGAGGAGUUACUGUUUCACGGGUACAGAUUUUCAGUUGGGAAAGAUGAAAAUAGUUCUGGAGAUGGACCGCAAUGAUGGUUACACAACAGUGUGAAUGUGCUUGGUGCCACAGAACUAGAUACUUAAAAAUGAUGAGAACUGUAAAUUUUAUGUGUAUUUUAUCACAAUAAAAAAAAUACCUAUGGAAUCAUUUUUAAAAUGAUCUUUUAUUCAUAUAGAAAGAAUAUGUGUGCAUUGAAAAAAAUAGACAUGUAAGAAUAACUACAAUUUUUACAUUUCCAGCAUCCAGAGCCCCUCAGAGUGGUCUUGCAGAUCUGAAAAUGGCCUUAUACUGUACCCAUGUUUUGUAAUCUGUUUUAAUAUCUGCUUUUAAUGAGUACAUGAUCUCUACAUUUCUACAUUAAAUUUUUUCCAGUUGACCUAAACGUGUAGCAAUUGUUUUAAAAUAAUAGUUUAAAACAACUACAACCUAUUUUUUCUUUUUAUUUCUUCUUUUUCCUUCCCCCCACCCUUUUUUUUUAAGUCAGAAGGCAAAGCUCUGAAGAGGCCAUCCAUGAAGUUUAUCCUUAAACAAGAGCUCAUAUGAGAUCACCUAGGUGGGCACGAGAAAACCAGCGAGGGUUCAGAAGGGGAGAGGGUGGGUCCCCAGCUCCUGGCGCUAUCCAGGUGAACACCUUUAGUCCCUGCACUGAAAGUGAGCUGGGACCUCAGCCAAAGCUAGCAACCACCACUGUCAUUUGUGAGCAGUUCUUGUUGCUAUGCUAAGAAGCUGCCGUGGUUUUGCUGUGUCCCCAAGAGAGCCUCCCAGCAACAGUGAACAAUGUGCCAGGUGACCCCUAGCAGCAGGGACAUCUGUCAGCAGCUUCAGAAUUUGCACAGCCCAUCUGGACUUGUCCAGGGCCCAGGACACGUGCGUAUGUUCCUGACUGCACCCCAAAUCUUAAGCAAAGUGCCACCCAUCUCCAACGGUUCUUUUAAGGGUACAGUGAAGGCAUCCGGAACAAUGUCAAGCUCAGCUCUGUGCUUGUCCGUCUUCCUUCCUCUUAUAACUCCAGUUAUACAGUAAUUGGCAGAAUGCCAACGUCACCUGUACAAAGCAUCCCAUUGGCCGAUGACUCAGAAGUUUACAAGAAAGAAAAAGAACCACAAUUAACCACAUUGUGUGAGUGUUUGAGCAACGGUACCACCGCUGGAAAAAGCACACAGUCUGCUUUGAAGCAGCUUUGAAGAUCAGCCUUCAUGCACUGAGGUUUUACAAAGAAGAAAUCAGACAUGGUCCCUCGACUUCUGGUGUCCGCGAUCUGACCAAAAAGAUAAGACAGCUUAAAGAUGAGAACUAUAGAGAUGUGGGGGAAGGGUCAACUAGAAAUGUCCUUAACACUUUUUAUAAUUCACAUAGGCUUUGACGAGGCCAAAUUUGAAAGGAGAAUAUUCUGUUAAUUUUUUAUAUUCUUAGCUUUAUUCACAUCAUGACUUCAUUAAGCUUUCAUUUUCAUGUUUGCUUUAAAUUUUACUAUGCCAUAUUCAUUAAGUUUAAGAGGAGAUGAUAAGACCAAAGUGAAAUGGGUCAAAAAAAAUUAGAUGACAUAGUUUUUUUGAAGGAAAGAAAUCUGUCAAUGACAGCAUUUUUGUUUUGAACAAAAUAUAAACCAUUGUUAAAAUCUUUGCCUGACAAUAUCCACUCAUGUAAUCAUUCAAUGGAAACAUUUCUUAGAGUGAGGUGUGCAGGUUUUAUGAUGCCCCCUCUAUGUAAAAGAAAAUGUAAGGGUGCCUGGGUGUCUCAGUCGACUUUGGCUCAGGUCAUGACCUUGUGGUUCGUGGGUUCGAGCCCUGCAUCAGGCUCUGUGCUGACAGCUCAGAGCCUGGAGCCUGCUUUGGAUUCUGUGUCUCCCUCUCUUUGCCCCUCUC